GGUCCCAUAGUUUAUCGGUUAGAACACCGGGUUCUCAACCCGGAAAGGGAGGGUUCGAUUCCCCCUGGGACUACCA
rnacentral:tRNA from 1 species